ACUGACUUAGAAGGGCUGGGGCAUCUAUGCCAGGCUAACCUUUAUAACUUUAAAACCAUAAACCUUAUAAAGCCAUAACCUUAAAAACACAUAUGUGUUGUUUUCUUGUGCAUGCAAUCUUUUUAAAAAUUAAACUAACAUAUUUAUGUAUUACUGGAAUAGCUCCUUAUAUUAUUUGGCCUUUUUUUCCUCUGCACAGCUAGACUGUAUACUCAAAAGACAUCAGAACUGUGUUUAUUAUCUUUAUCUAAUAAAAUCUAUCAAAUUGGGGGGGAGGGAGGAUUAGAGAGAUGGCUGAACAGUUACGAACACUGGUUGCUCUUCCAGAAGUCCCGAGAUCAAUUCCAAGCACCCACAUGGUGACUCAUGACUAUAAUAUAGCACUACCUUAAUAUAAUUUAUAAAUGACUGAGACUUUUCAUUAUAUUAAUACAUUUCAUUAUAUGAGUUCUCAACCCUUGAAACAGGUCUCCAGGAACCAUCUAAGGAUCUUUGAUUGUCCGAUUUUUACAUCAUCACUGAAAGAAAAGAAAGCCUUGUGGUUAUCAUAGGAACUGUCUCAUAUACCACAAAAAUCUACCAGCAAUAUAGGAAAUCUUUAAGAGUUCAUCUUCUGAUGCCAAAUGUGGCCCACUCCAGUUCUACAAGCAAAUCUGACAGAAGAGAGCACCUGUGUCCACCAGCUCACACAUACAAGAUUCCUCCUGGUGGCUAAGGCUGUUUGUGUCCCUGGUUUGGGGCCAGUGAGACUUGACAAGGAACACUGAUGGGAAACAGUUGGCGGGAGGAUUCUUCACUUCUGAGCCGUAGCCCAAAUGGAGGUUUCAGGCUCCUGACGUCUCGUGUUCUUCCUCUCAGGAAGACUGUCCCAAGGACUUUCUUCUAGUAGCUGUCUGGAGAGGAUGACUUGACGCAUGUGCACCCCUGCAGACGGAUGCUUGGGGACAAUACUUCCGGUGUGGGGAUGGGGAGGUCAUUGGAAGGGAAAGGAAGGGAAAAAAAGACAGUGGAGGAUAGCAUAACCAGAAUUUAUGUAUAUAUCAUUUGCACAAUAACAAAAUAAAUCAAUUACAAAACAGAAAAAUCUGCAUUCAUUUUUUUCCAUGGCUGAAUAUUCACCUGCAGACAGGUUUCUCACCCUCUCACUCACCUGUCGAUAGACACUCUUUGUUUACAGCGUGGUUAGCCAGAAGAGGGCUGCUUGCAUACUUUUCUCUCGAGAUACCUGUUCAAAUCACUUCCAGUUCUCUCUUGGGUACAAAAAUGAAAUUUCUGGGUCAUGUGGUAGUUUCAUCUCCAACUUGUAGAAAUCACCAAACUGCUUCCUGCAGUGGCUUUGGCAUUUGCCAUGCUCAUGAAGGUCAUGUGUCCCCUACAUUCUCACCAACUCUUAUUUUCCACUUUGUUCUGUUUCCUAACUUUCCUAGCAAAUGAAGAGUGGUGUCUCACCCUGGC
rnacentral:lncRNA from 1 species